GCGGUAGCACAGAGAGCUUGCUCUCGGGUGACGAGCGGCGGACGGGUGAGUAAUGUCUGGGAAACUGCCUGAUGGAGGGGGAUAACUACUGGAAACGGUAGCUAAUACCGCAUAACGUCGCAAGACCAAAGUGGGGGACCUUCGGGCCUCAUGCCAUCAGAUGUGCCCAGAUGGGAUUAGCUAGUAGGUGGGGUAAUGGCUCACCUAGGCGACGAUCCCUAGCUGGUCUGAGAGGAUGACCAGCCACACUGGAACUGAGACACGGUCCAGACUCCUACGGGAGGCAGCAGUGGGGAAUAUUGCACAAUGGGCGCAAGCCUGAUGCAGCCAUGCCGCGUGUAUGAAGAAGGCCUUCGGGUUGUAAAGUACUUUCAGCGAGGAGGAAGGCACUGAGGUUAAUAACCUCAGUGAUUGACGUUACUCGCAGAAGAAGCACCGGCUAACUCCGUGCCAGCAGCCGCGGUAAUACGGAGGGUGCAAGCGUUAAUCGGAAUUACUGGGCGUAAAGCGCACGCAGGCGGUCUGUCAAGUCGGAUGUGAAAUCCCCGGGCUCAACCUGGGAACUGCAUUCGAAACUGGCAGGCUAGAGUCUUGUAGAGGGGGGUAGAAUUCCAGGUGUAGCGGUGAAAUGCGUAGAGAUCUGGAGGAAUACCGGUGGCGAAGGCGGCCCCCUGGACAAAGACUGACGCUCAGGUGCGAAAGCGUGGGGAGCAAACAGGAUUAGAUACCCUGGUAGUCCACGCCGUAAACGAUGUCGACUUGGAGGUUGUGCCCUUGAGGCGUGGCUUCCGGAGCUAACGCGUUAAGUCGACCGCCUGGGGAGUACGGCCGCAAGGUUAAAACUCAAAUGAAUUGACGGGGGCCCGCACAAGCGGUGGAGCAUGUGGUUUAAUUCGAUGCAACGCGAAGAACCUUACCUACUCUUGACAUCCAGAGAACUUAGCAGAGAUGCUUUGGUGCCUUCGGGAACUCUGAGACAGGUGCUGCAUGGCUGUCGUCAGCUCGUGUUGUGAAAUGUUGGGUUAAGUCCCGCAACGAGCGCAACCCUUAUCCUUUGUUGCCAGCGGUCCGGCCGGGAACUCAAAGGAGACU
rnacentral:rRNA from 1 species